GAUGAACGCUGGCGGCGUGCCUAAUACAUGCAAGCCGAGCGAACGGACGAGAAGCUUGCUUCUCUGAUGUUAGCGGCGGACGGGUGAGUAACACGUGGAUAACCUACCUAUAAGACUGGGAUAACUUCGGGAAACCGGAGCUAAUACCGGAUAAUAUUUUGAACCGCAUGGUUCAAAAGUGAAAGACGGUCUUGCUGUCACUUAUAGAUGGAUCCGCGCUGCAUUAGCUAGUUGGUAAGGUAACGGCUUACCAAGGCAACGAUGCAUAGCCGACCUGAGAGGGUGAUCGGCCACACUGGAACUGGGACACGGUCCAGACUCCUACGGGAGGCAGCAGUAGGGAAUCUUCCGCAAUGGGCGAAAGCCUGACGGAGCAACGCCGCGUGAGUGAUGAAGGUCUUCGGAUCGUAAAACUCUGUUAUUAGGGAAGAACAUAUGUGUAAGUAACUGUGCACAUCUUGACGGUACCUAAUCAGAAAGCCACGGCUAACUACGUG
rnacentral:rRNA from 1 species